rnacentral:rRNA from 1 species
UACGUAGGGUGCGAGCGUUAAUCGGAAUUACUGGGCGUAAAGUGUGCGCAGGCGGCUUCGCAAGUCGAGUGUGAAAUCCCCGAGCUUAACUUGGGAAUUGCGCUCGAAACUACGGAGCUGGAGUGUGGCAGAGGAAGGUGGAAUUCCACGUGUAGCGGUGAAAUGCGUAGAGAUGUGGAGGAACACCGAUGGCGAAGGCAGCCUCCUGGGCUAACACUGACGCUCAUGCACGAAAGCGUGGGGAGCAAACAGG